rnacentral:tRNA from 1 species
CGUAGCACAGAGGUAAGCGUGUCCGCCUAUGACGCUGAAAGCCUGGGUUCGAAUCCUAGCG